rnacentral:tRNA from 1 species
GGGGAUGUAGCUCAGCGGUAGAGCAAUGCUUUGUAUGUAUGCGGUCCUGGGUCCAACCUCCCAGCUUGUCCA